CGAAGCCGAGCUCGCGCGGGAGGGUGGGGAGCGGCAGCGACGGCAGGACCUCGGAGUGGACGGUGUUGGGCAGCCGGCACGCCCGCUCGAAGCCCGCCCGGCCCCCGGCCCCAGCCCCGCCGGCGUCGGGGUCCAUGGGCAAAACCCUAGAUGCGCGGGAGGGCUGAGGGCUCCAAUUCGCACCGGAAUUCGAUUGUUGGGGAGGACUGGAGGAGGGGCUGCUUUGAUUGAGUUGAUUUCAAAGUGUGGAGAGGUGGUGGUGAAUGAAUCGAGGGUGGUGGGCUGCUUUGAUUUGAUUUCAAUUUCGAAGGGUGGAGAG
rnacentral:misc_RNA from 1 species